CUCUUGUUGCGGAGUCCCAAAUAGGACGAAACCCGCGUCCUGUAU
rnacentral:hammerhead_ribozyme from 1 species